UACGUAGGAUGCAAGCGUUGUUCGGAAUUACUGGGCGUAAAGAGUACGUAGGCGGUCUGGCAAGUCUGAUAUUAAAGACCGGAGCUCAACUCCGGGACUGUAUCGGAAACUGCCAAACUAGAGGACAAUAGAGGAAGUCGGAAUUCUCAGUGUAGCGGUGAAAUGCGUAGAUAUUGGGAAGAACACCAGUGGCGAAAGCGGACUUCUGGGUUGUUACUGACGCUGAGGUACGAAAGCGUGGGGAGCAAACGGG
rnacentral:rRNA from 1 species